rnacentral:rRNA from 1 species
GAUGAACGCUAGCGGCAGGCUUAACACAUGCAAGUCGAGGGGUAUAGUUCUUCGGAGCUAGAGACCGGCGCACGGGUGCGUAACGCGUAUGCAAUCUACCUUUUGCAGAGGGAUAGCCCAGAGAAAUUUGGAUUAAUACCUCAUGGUAUGUGAGAAUGGCAUCAUUUUCACAUUAAAGUCACAACGGCAAAAGAUGAGCAUGCGUCCCAUUAGCUAGUUGGUAAGGUAACGGCUUACCAAGGUAACGAUGGGUAGGGGUCCUGAGAGGGAGAUCCCCCACACUGGUACUGGGACACGGACCAGACUCCUACGGGAGGCAGCAGUGAGGAAUAUUGGACAAUGGGCGCAAGCCUGAUCCAGCCAUGCCGCGUGCAGGAUGACGGUCCUAUGGAUUGUAAACUGCUUUUGUACAGGAAGAAACACUGGUUCGUGAACCAGCUUGACGGUACUGUAAGAAUAAGGAUCGGCUAACUCCGUGCCAGCCGCCGCCGUAACAC